rnacentral:rRNA from 1 species
GUGCCAGCAGCCGCGGUAAUACGUAGGUGGCAAGCGUUGUCCGGAUUUAUUGGGUUUAAAGGGUGCGUAGGCGGUCCUAUAAGUCAGUGCUGAAAUAUCCCGGCUUAACCGGGAGGGUGGCAUUGAUACUGCAGGACUUGAGUAAAGUUGAGGUAAGCGGAAUUGACGGUGUAGCGGUGAAAUGCUUAGAUAUCGUCAAGAACACCUAUUGCGAAGGCAGCUUACUAAGCUUUAACUGACGCUGAGGCACGAAAGUGUGGGGAUCAAACAGGAUUAGAUACCCUGGUAGUCC